rnacentral:rRNA from 1 species
GCGAACGGACGAGAAGCUUGCUUCUCUGAUGUUAGCGGCGGACGGGUGAGUAACACGUGGAUAACCUACCUAUAAGACUGGGAUAACUUCGGGAAACCGGAGCUAAUACCGGAUAAUAUUUUGAACCGCAUGGUUCAAAAGUGAAAGACGGUCUUGCUGUCACUUAUAGAUGGAUCCGCGCUGCAUUAGCUAGUUGGUAAGGUAACGGCUCACCAAGGCAACGAUGCAUAGCCGACCUGAGAGGGUGAUCGGCCACACUGGAACUGAGACACGGUCCAGACUCCUACGGGAGGCAGCAGUAGGGAAUCUUCCGCAAUGGGCGAAAGCCUGACGGAGCAACGCCGCGUGAGUGAUGAAGGUCUUCGGAUCGUAAAACUCUGUUAUUAGGGAAGAACAUAUGUGUAAGUAACUGUGCACAUCUUGACGGUACCUAAUCAGAAAACCACGGCUAACUACGUGCCAGCAGCCGCGGUAAUACGUAGGUGGCAAGCGUUAUCCGGAAUUAUUGGGCGUAAAGCGCGCGUAGGCGGUUUUUAAAGUCUGAUGUGAAAGCCCACGGGCUCAACCGUGGAGGGUCAUUGGAAACUGGAAAACUUGAGGUGCAGAAGAGGAAAGUGGAAUUGCCAUGUGUACGGUGAAAUGCGCAGAGAUAUGGAGGGAACACCAGUGGCGAAGGCGACUUUCUGGUCUGUAACUGACGCUGAUGUGCGAAAGCGUGGGGAUCAAACAGGAU